UGUGUCACUAGGAGGACGCAUUUGUCAGACCAAGCAUGGAUCAUCUCCAUGGUGGUGGUGGCAUCAUGAGAAAGUGAGGACUCUGUCGGGGGAGAACUGACUGAGCACUCCCCAUGAGAUAUUGUCAAGAACCCUCUGCUCUACAGUUCUUUGCUGUUCUUGACCCACCUCCUUCAAACUUGGAUUUUCCGUUUCUCUCUUCUCCUAAGAGCUGCCUGCUGCCUUCUGGACAAGAGAAAAAGAGAAUCCUGAAGGCAUGGUUCCCAGACGGGGUGAAAUAGUUAAUACAGAAAUUCUUCUAACUCAGGCCCAAACAUCUCCACACUGUCCCCAUCCUCAAGCCCUGCCGUCCACUCCACCCCUAUUUGUACAGGAGCCAUUUAAUAGAGCAAACAGUAUUCGUUUGGCAGUUUAUUUGUGCUGCACCAAAAAAAACAGAGAAGCCAAAACAGAAAGAAAAAGGAAAAACAAAAAACCAGAAAUGGAGAAGUGUUCCCUUUCCAGACAAUCAUGUAAGUAUCCGUAAUUAACUUAUCUCUUUUUAUAGAAGUUAUGGAUUUUUGUGUUUAAACACUGACCACAAAAAGUGACUAGUAAAAUCUCUGAAAAGUUAAAGGAAGUGCUUAAAUUCCAAUUUUAGUAAGCUUGUGUCCAAUUCAAUUUUCUGUGAUUUUUAACAGAAAUGGAAUGUUGGGGAGAACUGGGAAAAAAGGGUAGUAUUCUGGUUUGCAUGGUAGACCCCAUGUGAACAGGUGUUUAAAAUUCACUGCUAGGUAAACUAGAUUCAAAUUCAAAACUUUUGUCGAGCAAUGAAUAUUUCAAACAUUUACUUUUUUUUUUUUUUUUUUUUUUUGCUGACAAAACCUUGUUUUUUCCCCCUUCCCUUUUUUUUUUUUUUUCCCAGCAGGAAGGCACAAUCAUUCUACAAUACUGCCAAAUAUAACAAACAUCUACAGAUGGGUUGGUCUGCAGCUGGAGGCUUUAACUUUGUAGUAUUUAUUUGAAAUAUCCAAGCCAGCAGAGCAGGGCUAAAGCACAGUGGGCACAAUUCACAAUGUUUUGGCUCUGGAGCAAAUAGCAGUUGAACUUAGUUUUUUCAGCUAAAAUGGAAUUUAUGCAGAUGUGCUUUGCACUAAAUUCAUUAAACAAUUACAUCCUGGUGCAGUUUUCACAUUUUUGUAAAGGAUCUGCAUAAGCACUAAUUAGAUCUAAAACAAUGUUACUGGGCAAAUUACAGUGCCGAUUGUUCGCCUCGGCUUGCAUUCCACAUCUGCUUUGCAAUGAUGAUGAUAAUUUAGGUGCAAGCAAUACAAAUGCCGGUUUUUGUUACAUUUAAUAGAAAUAUUUAUUUAAAACAUACUAUAGAUUAAUUGAUAAUGUAACCAUUUUUAAAGAGCCUCCAAAUGUUUUCUCACGGACAUUGAGUGGAAAAAUGCAAUCUGUGAAAAUACAGUAGCUGAAACUUCUCACAGUUGCUAACUGGCAUUUCCUCAGUGAGGUUUGCUCUUGAAAGGCAACUUUGCAUUUCAUUUGGCUUCAAGUACGAGCUGGGUUCGCUGAAUUACAGCAGUGCCUUUGAGAGUGCAGCGGCAUUUGACAUAAAGGCAUAAAGACUUUCCUAAACAGCUCCCAGUCGUGGCAACCCACGCUACCUCUUCUUUGGUCAAUCAGUUUCAAAGGCUGACUUAGUAUUGGAAAAUUAUUUAAUGGCUUAAGUAUUUCAGAUGUUAGAGUAUGUUUUCUUUCUUCCAUAUUCAUCUUCUGUCUACUUUGUAUAUCAUGAAGUAUAAGAAGGCAUAUUAACGUUUAAACAUAAAAUCAAUUCUGCUGAAGCGAGGACAUUCAGACAGGGUUUCUAUGGCAACUUUGAAUGUACCAACUUAAUUCAGGGUUUGCUCCAACCCAGAGUCACCUCCAUUAUCACUCUCACCCUAGACAUUCUUUAACUCGCCUGGCCAGCCAUGUAGUCGGGAAUCCUGAAGUGCGAUCACUCUGCUCCUGCCCAGGCUAACGGCUACGACGACUAGCUAGCAUUAUCUCUCUCCCUGGGAAGGAGGCCAACCUGGUGAAUCAGUUUGGCUUCUGGUUUCCUAAAAACCACUCCUGUUGUUUGACUUUUUGAAUGGGUUACUUUUAUUGUUUGAUAGAGCCAGACAUACAACAGCAAGCUUGGUGCCAGCACUGACAAAGAUGAAAAGGCAAAAUGAAACUCCAAGGGUAAUUGUCAUGAAAGUCCAAGUUUGGACAUAUCUCCUCUCUAUGAGGGAACACUGUGCUAAUUAUUAAUGCAAAGCACAGCCAGCAUUCAUGGUGCUCUCAAAAUUUAGCAUCCAUGUUCAUUCAUUCAGUUUACUGGAGUGCCUCCCUAACCUUUACGCGGGACUUUCCAUUUCAUUCUGCGGUUUUUGCUAGGUAAGAGGGAUUGGAACUAGAAGAGUGAUAAUUUCUUCUACAGACUUAAUUGGUAAGCCUGAAAAUGCUGUGCUGGUGGAAUAUGAAAUUAUAUCCUCUUUGAAGGAAAACAUAAUUUAGCACUGGGGCUUUGGGUUGUUUGAAGGUAAAAUGUAUUAUGCCUGUGGAAAAGGCAAAGCAAUAUUUGUAAUAAAAGACGUCAUUUUUUAAAGACUCAGAAAAAAGAGAAUAAUUAGUAUUUCCUAACUUGAACCCAAAAUUCUUCUUGAUUCACCCUGGGAAGAUGGUUGGUUCUAUAUUUUAU
rnacentral:lncRNA from 1 species